rnacentral:rRNA from 1 species
UGGGGGAAUAUUGCGCAAUGGGGGAAACCCUGACGCAGCAACGCCGCGUGAAGGAAGAAGGCCUUCGGGUUGUAAACUUUUGUCUUUAGUGAAAGAAAGGAUGGUAGCUAAGGAGGAAGCCACGGCUAACUACGUGCCAGCAGCCGCGGUAAUACGUAGGUGGCAAGCGUUAUCCGGAUUUACUGGGUGUAAAGGGUGCGUAGGCGGGACUUUAAGUCAGAUGUGAAAGAUUAGGGCUCAACCCUGAAACUGCAUUUGAAACUGGAGUUCUUGAGUGUCGGAGAGGUAAGCGGAAUUCCUAGUGUAGCGGUGAAAUGCGUAGAUAUUAGGAGGAACACCGGUGGCGAAGGCGGCUUACUGGACGAUAACUGACGCUGAGGCACGAAAGUGUGGGGAGCAAACAGGAUUAGAUACCCUGGUAGU